rnacentral:rRNA from 1 species
UACAGAGGGUGCAAGCGUUGUUCGGAAUUAUUGGGCGUAAAGCGCGUGUAGGCGGCUUUGCAAGUCGGGUGUGAAAGCCCUCAGCUCAACUGAGGAAGUGCGCCCGAAACUGCAGAGCUUGAGUGCCGGAGAGGGUGGCGGAAUUCCCCAAGUAGAGGUGAAAUUCGUAGAUAUGGGGAGGAACACCGGUGGCGAAGGCGGCCCCCUGGACGGUAACUGACGCUGAGACGCGAAAGCGUGGGGAGCAAACAGG